GAUGAACGCUGGCGGCGUGCCUAAUACAUGCAAGUCGAGCGAAUGGAUUAAGAGCUUGCUCUUAUGAAGUUAGCGGCGGACGGGUGAGUAACACGUGAGUAACCUGCCCAUAAGACUGGGAUAACUCCGGGAAACCGGGGCUAAUACCGGAUAACAUUUUGAACCGCAUGGUUCGAAAUUGAAAGGCGGCUUCGGCUGUCACUUAUGGAUGGACCCGCGUCGCAUUAGGUAGUUGGUGAGGUAACGGCUCACCAAGGCAACGAUGCGUAGCCGACCUGAGAGGGUGAUCGGCCACACUGGGACUGAGACACGGCCCAGACUCCUACGGGAGGCAGCAGUAGGGAACCUUCCGCAAUGGACGAAAGUCUGACGGAGCAACGCCGCGUGAGUGAUGAAGGCUUUCGGGUCGUAAAACUCUGUUGUUAGGGAAGAACAAGCGCUAGUUGAAUAAGCUGGCACCUUGACGGUACCUAACCAGAAAGCCACGGCUAACUACGUGCCAGCCGCCGCGGUAA
rnacentral:rRNA from 1 species